UACGGAGGAGGCAAGCGUUAUCCGGAAUUAUUGGGCGUAAAGCGUCCGUAGGUGGUUUAGUAAGUCUGCUGUUAAAGCGCGGGGCUUAACUCCGUAUCGGCAGUGGAAACUACUAGACUAGAGUGUGGUAGGGGUAGAGGGAAUUCCCAGUGUAGCGGUGAAAUGCGUAGAUAUUGGGAAGAACACCGGUGGCGAAGGCGGCCCCCUGGACGGAGACUGACGCUGAGGCGCGAAAGCGUGGGGAGCAAACAGG
rnacentral:rRNA from 1 species